UACGUAGGGUGCAAGCGUUGUCCGGAAUUAUUGGGCGUAAAGAGCUUGUAGGCGGUUUGUCGCGUCUGCUGUGAAAUUUCGGGGCUCAACCCCGAACUUGCAGUGGGUACGGGCAGACUAGAGUGUGGUAGGGGAGACUGGAAUUCCUGGUGUAGCGGUGAAAUGCGUAGAUAUACGGAGGAACACCAGAGGCGAAGGCGGAUCGCUGGGCCAACACUGACGCUGAGACGCGAAAGCUAGGGUAGCAAACGGG
rnacentral:rRNA from 1 species